UUAAGGGUAGCUUAAAUGAAAGUUUGGGAUUCUUACUCCCAAGAUGUUGUACAUAAUUAACCCCUUGAG
rnacentral:tRNA from 1 species